GGGGUGCACGCACGCGCUGUAAGAGGCCAGGAGGUGCGGCGACGAGGUGGAGGCCGCGGGGAAGCGCCGGGGGCGUGAGGAAGAGGGAAUAAACCCAAAGUUUCAGUGACUUGGCCAAGGUCACGGAGGAGAUUCCCGGGCUUUCCACCGCUACGCACAACUUUCUGUAAUACCAUCUGCGCUCCUGAGGCUGGCUACGCUCCAAGUAUCGUCGUAAGAAAUGUGUUUGACCCUCCCAUCCUCACCCCAUGUUUUCACGAGAACCUAAUGGCCCUUGAAAAGGUGACAGAAUAUUCAGUGGGACUCCACCUGAAUUUGGGGAGUGAUUCAUAUAACCAUUGAUGGAUAUGGUGCCUGUUGGAACUGUGUGCCUGAAGAAGAGGAUCCCAUUUAGGACAUCACAUUACAUUUCAUCAUUAUGUCUCCUUAAGUUCCUCCUGAUUACGAUGAUUUCUCAGACUUUCCUUGUUUUUGAUGACCUUGACAGUUUCGCGGAGUACUGGUAAGUUAUUUUGUAGAGCGCUGCUCAGGUGGGAUUUGUCUGAGGUUUUUCUCAUAAUUAGAGUGGGCCUGUUGGGUUUUGGAAGGAAGACCACAGAGGUGAAGUGUAAUUCUCAUCACGUCCUAUCAAGGUACACGCGAGCAACAUGACUUACCACCAGGAUGUUAAUAGGAUGAUGUCUUACUUUACUGGGGAAGCAGGGAGCUCGCUGAAGGAUGGGCCAGAACCCCAGCCCCCAAGCGUGUGUAGGAGAGGUUGUAGGGGGAGGGGCCUGAGCCCCAGAGCACAGAAACCUGACGAAGCAGGGACCUGUUCCUCUUGGGAAAUCCCGGUGGUUUACACUGCCUAGUAAUGAGAUUGCUUCCAAAGCGGGAAAGCGUGCCCUGUGCCUGGUCCCAUCGGGGGCCUGGUGAGUGGAUGCCCUUCGAUGCUCAGGAAGGGUUUUGACAGUGCUGCAAGGAAGCCCAGGGACCCUCUGUGUUUGGGGGGCGGAAGGGGUAUGGGGGUUCAGGUGACAGUAAUUUAUGAACAAGGAUAUUUGCUUAGCGGGCAGAGGCUAUGUAUAAAAUGUAAGCCCCCUGAAGGGAGCAUCCUAAGUAAAUUAAGGCACAAGCAUUAUACAGAUAUGGCACAAAACCAGCUGGUAGGAGAAACAUGCCUGAGGUUUGAAUCCAAGUGUUAGAAGGCGCAGAGCAUGGGGACAUCCCAGGCUAGGCUGAAAAGUGUUCACCACGGCUCAGGGCUGCAAGGCUGGAAGGCAGGAGCCAGCUGGGUCUGUAACGAGGCUGUCUGCACAGCACACGGGACCUCAGCUCUGCUCCGCUCCCUCUCUCCACCAGGCCUUGGGGAUGGAGGGUCACAUCUCUACUCGUUUCCCCUUGUUCGCAUUCCAGGACUCCGCCUGGCGUGGGGGCUGGAAUUCUUUCAGGCCCGGGGUUUCUACAUGAGCUCCUAUGUGGAAAGUCGCUGGGCUGCUCCAGGAUGUCCUCUGCUGUGCCCCAUCCUGUCCUCCUUAUCACAGCUGCAGGCGGCCUGAGCCACAUUCCUCCUGCCUGAGUCAUUGCCCCAGGCCCCAGGCUGCCUUUCCUCCAGCUUGGCCUAGGGGCCAGCCCCUGUCCAGCCCAUCUUGUUGCUUGUCCCUUUAUUAGUCAAGAAUGCUACGGAUUUAUUUUUAUUGCCUGUAUGGAAUGGCAGCUAUUAGCCAAAGAAAAUUUUCCAUACGUUAAGUUCUUCCCUUUCCUUUUCAGCAUCCUUCUCAUCAAGAUCUAGCCUAUCUCAUCCCUACUGGGCCCUACUCCUAAUCACAGCAUUAUCUGUAUAUUUUUUAACUUAGGUUUCCUUGAUGGUUAUAACACCAUUUGAUCAAAAGUCUAAGCUAUGUUUUUAGGUUUAGCCCGUGCACUCCCAUCCACCCACUGGUGGACUUCUGACCUCCUCCUUGUUGCUUGUUGAUGUCUUAUCCCCUAGAGCACCUUACUAACCCUCCUAUGGCAGAAGGCUUCCAUUCCCCAUAUGAGUGGAUGAAUGAAUGAAGGGGAACAAACACAAUGUUGCCUAAUGCCAAGUGAUUUUGAAUUUGUUGAAUUAACUGGAAAAUUUGACACCAGGUGGAUCUUAUUUAUCCUAGAUAAUUGGCAGGCCCCUGGAAUCCUGUCAUAUUCAAGUUUAAAAUACCCCUAAUACAUAAUUUGGGGCUAAAUUUUGUGCUAAUUACUAGAUUCUAGAUAAGCAACAAGACAUUAUGGUGGUUUUGGAAAAGGUAUGGAAGGAAAACUUAAAAUUGAAAACAUUCUUUCCAUGGCCAUUGACAUUUUUACCCAGAAAUUACAGUGAGACUGCCUAGUAUCCCCACAGCAUAACUUAAGUCAGGGGGUAUUUAUUCUGAGCGCAACCCUCUUACCUUUGAGAAUUAUUCUCUAAACAUGGAAUGCCCACUAUGUAUCACGCAAGAUGGUUAGUCAUUUCUAGUCAUUUUUCCCUAAAAGAGGAAAUACCCCCUAGUGUCCUCACUCCUACUCUCUCCGUGGCCUAGCCAUCAGAUGUCUACCAAGCUCUACCAUGCGCCGGAUGCUCUCAGAGCCAGGCUCCCUGCCCUUAAAGGGCUCAGCCUGGCGACCAUGCAAGGCAUCUAGCACGGAGCCUGUGGACCGCCAGAGCUAGCGGGCGUGUGUGUGUGUGACAGGGAAGGGACAGGGAAGCUUUCUGGAGGAGGUAACUGCUAAGCUGAGUGCUGAGGGAUAAGGGAACUCUCCAAGCUGUGGCAGACAAGGAACGAGCUCGCCACGUUGUGGGAAAUGAAAUGCUGUGUUGGACACAACUUAUUUGAAAGGAGACAUUAGGCCAGAAAUUUAAAUGGGAAUUAAGAAGCAGUCUUCCAUAUCCAGGACAUAGUUCUGCGGUAAAGCCAGGAUGCCAAGUCUCCAUCCCUUCAUCAGGAUCUGCUCCUCAAGAAGUGGUGAGGCUUGGUGAAUGAGGAUUCCAGAGAAGCCAGGGCACAUCCUCCCAGACACCUUUCUCCUUCCCGGCAGCCUCAUGACCAGCUUGGACCAUGACUCCCGUGCAGCCCUGGGCAGACAUCCCAAUAUCCCUGGGCCUCAGUCUCCUUCAUGGUUAAAAUUGGAGCAGUGAUGCUCCCCAGUUAGGAGCUGUUUCUCUGAGUUCUUGUCCUAGCUUUUGUAAAAUGCAGGCACCUAAAUGAGUUCAUGCUGGUCUCAGCAUUGUGUAUAGGUAACAGGAAGUGUUUGCCCAUGGUGAGGGCGUGUGUAGACAGCAUGGGGUUGGGCCCUUCCUUACAGAGGGACCUGCACAUGGGUGGGAGGGAGAGGAAGCAGUGCCUGGCUUAGAGCUUUGCUUCUGGCCCCGCCAGUCCCCAGUUACUCUGAUUUAACAGACAAAACAGAAGCUCUAGUUUCUGGAAUGAUCCUGGGUCACAGACUCUUCAGAAAUGGAAGGUACCUCACCACUCAUCACUCCCACCCUUGAUUUAGUCCAGUCAGUUUCUGUUCUUUUCCAUUAGCUCCAAUGACUUAGACGGGAACAAAGCAGUAGGCUAAAUAAAUAUCAUUAUCUGGCAAAGCCAUGAAGCAUUUUCCACCUAGUUGUUGGUGCUCACUCAAUUACUUGUGAAGCGUGUAAGUCGCGCAAGCCUCACUGCUGGGGGUGGUGAUGGCAGUGAAAGGUGGUUUAGAAGAAAUGUGUCCACCCAGUCUUCUCCUUUAGAGAAAGUGUAUUGCUUAGGGUUCUCCAGAGACACAGAACCGGUUGGAUGUGUGUAUACAUGUAGAUGUAGAAGGAGAGAGAUUUAUUUUAGGGAAUUGGCUCACGUGAUAGUGGGGCUGGCAAGACUGCAGUGUGAAGGGCAGGCCAGCAGGCUGGAGAUCCAGGGAAGAGCUGAGGUUGCAGCUUGAGUCCAAAGGCAGCGUGAAGGCAGAAUUUCUCUUCCAGGGCCCUCCAUCUUUUUCUCUGAAGACCUUCAACUGACUGGAUGAGUCCCACCCAUAUUAUGGAGAGUAAAGUGCUUUACUCAAAGUUCACUGGCUUAAAUGUUAAUCUCAUCUAAAAAAUACUCUCACAGUGACUUCUAGACUGCUGUUUGACUAGAUAUCUGGGCACUGUGGCCACCAGGUUGCACACAGAGUUAACCGCCACGGAACAGUCCUGGCAUGGUCAUUUCGGCGUUCUCGUGGUACAUCCAGGCAGAGACCCUGUGCUCCGUCUCACCCUCCUCAGGUAGCUCCAGGCCAGCCUUCUGCCAGAGGAAGCAGGGGCUGAAAGGAGCCCUGGGCCUGGAUGGAGGGGCCUGGCUCACUGCCCUCGCUGCCUGCUGGUAGCCAUGCAGUUUCUCCUCUUGGACUUCAGGUUCCGUGGGCGUAAAGUGGACAUGCCGCUCUACCCGCCUCACGGGAGCUACGUGAGCAUUAAAUGGAAAUACCGUUUGCAUUCCGUUAAGUGCAGUCAUUGCGCUGUCGGGAGGAGCCAGCAUUCCUGACUUGGAGCGGGGCAGAGAGGGUCCCUCAUGCUGAUGGGUGGCGUGGGGAGGUGGGGACUUCCCUCAUGGACCGAGGCAGCAUGGGGAGGAGCGUCCACCCUCAAGGACGAGCCUGAGCUCUGCCUGCGGGAAAUACUCCCAACCCAGAGCUCCUAAAUUGAGCUUUUUGCUCUUUUAAAAUUACUAUAUGUUCUUUCCAAAAAUUCCAAAAUUUCAGGGUAAAAACUUCCCCUCCUUCAUCACUCCUUCCCCAAAUCCACACCCUUCUCCGAAGGAGGCAACUGUUAACUCCUUGGCAUGAAUCAUUUCACACCCCUUCUCACUGAUUUCUUUUGUCACUACAAAAAAUGGGGUUUGUCUAUGGUUUUGUGAUUUUUAAAAUUCACUUAGCAAUAUACCAUAUGUGCUUUUUCGUGUCUCUAUCUGACUUUUUGUA